AACACUAUUGUAACUAUGGUAACAAUUGUGUCCGUUUUUGCCGUACAAGUUUGAGUCCGAUAAUGAAAGUUUGGAAGAACAAGCUGAUCGACCCGAACCACCUUCGCAAGCACGACUUGAGCAGGACGUUUCACAGUGAUGGUUACCAGAGCCAGCCAGAUCCAGCUCCGUUCCUGUUGAUGUCGAACUGCGAUGCACCUCAUUGAUCUCUGCCUGCAUCACCUUUGUCUAUUAAUGGACUAGACUCUUGAAAUGGAAUACAUAGAUGUAACAGUUCAAGAAUGGGCAAGGAGGCGGCGGGAACCGGCUGAACAUGAGAAAAUCUUGCAAUGAUGCAGGAAGACCAGCAACUACUACAAAAAUCACUGUUUUAAUUGGGGUUGAUAGAACCUUAUCAUCACCAGUAAUAUGUAAAAUACACCUUGAUUUGCCAUUGUUUCCACAAAAGACACAAAUUAUACCCCUAUGUGUGAAAGGAUACAUGGAGACAAAUAUCCUUAAACACAGGACACACCGAGGGGACACUUGAUUGUGUUGAUAUUGAAUAUGAGAACUGCUGUGGUUGUUACCGCAGUCAACGUGUGUGACUAAAAUAUGGAGGCUAUUAAAAUUUGUCCAGGGUGCCAAGGCCCUGUUUUAAUAAACUGUUAUCUGGGCACCCAACUAAUCUUGUUUUAUUCCUCAUAUUGCUAUGAAG